AUUGCACGCUGGCGGCACGCCUAACACAUGCAAGUCGAGCGGUAACAUGAUUUGUAGCAAUACAAAUUGAUGACGAGCGCCGGACGGGUGAGGAACACGCAGGAAUCUGCCCAGAAGCGGGGGACAACCAAGGGAAACUUUGGCUAAUACCGCGUAAUCUCGCAAGAGUAAAGCUGCCCGCAAGGGUGGCGCCUCUGGAGGAGCCUGCGUCCGAUUAGCUAGUUGGUGAGGUAAGAGCUCACCAAGGCGAUGAUCGGUAACUGGUCUGCGAGGACGACCAGUCCCACUGGGACUGAGACACGGCCCAUGCGCCUACGGGAGGCAGCAGUGGGGAAUAUUUGACAAUUGGGGCAACCCUGAUCCAGCGAUGCCGCGGGGGUGAAGAAGGCCUUCGGGUUGUAAAGCCCUUUAGGUUGGGAAGAAGUGUACGGGGCGAAUAACCCCGUAUGUUGACGGUACCGGCAAAAUAAGCACCGGCAAACUCUGUGCCAGCAGCCGCGGUAA
rnacentral:rRNA from 1 species